CCGCCUGUGCCGCAGGUCCGGGGGGUCCCGGCCGCUCUGCCGUGCGGAGCAGCCGCAGGGCGCUGCGGACGCUCCGGCUGCCGUGGCCAGGCUGACACAUCGCCUGCCGCAGCCCUGCGGCCACUCGGGCCCGCGAGGUGACAGCUCAGACCGCUGCAGCCAGCAGUCUGGUGAAAAGGUGUGUGCUGUCCGCACACAGCUCUGCGGGGCCUGGCAGGAGACGAGCUGCGGUUUGCUUUAAGGUGUCUUGGUGGAAAGUAGCGCUUCUGAGGAGCUGGAAGCCUGACCAUUUAAAAACAGCACUCUGAAUUUUGAAUGCUUUUGCAGCUCUUUAGGAAAACAAUGAUCAGGAGAGUUUUUCCAGCUAGCUCUUGCUACCCAUAUUAAAACAGGAAACACUGCUGGAGCUUGCAUAUUUUUGGCAGCUCCUAGCCUUCCAUUACUUAGCUUGAGACAUAUUGCUUAUUAGCUGAUUUUAAACAAUUGCAGGGCCUUCAGCUCCCUAGCUCUGUUAAUCACCUCCACUUCUCUGCAACGAAGGAGCCAAGGCUGAGCUCUGUCACCUUGAUUGAGGAGCUUCCCAGAGAAGUUCAGUGCUGACCUCACUGGCUGAUGGAAAUGUGGGACUAAGGAAAGCACACUGAUGUGGCGUGCCACAGAAUCAUGGAAUGGUUUGGGUUGGAAGGGACCUUAAAGAUCAUCCAAUUCCAACCCCCCUGCCACAGGCAUGGACACCUCCCACUAGAACAGGUUGCUCAGGGCCACAUCCAGCCUGGCCAUGAACCCUGCCAGGGAUUGGGCAUUCAACACUUCUCUGGGCAAUGCCACACGGUGUUAUUGAUAUCUGGCGGGUGCUGGUUACUCUGCCUGUGUCUUCACGUGCCAGCAAGAGAUUUAUUUUCCUGAGAACAGGAAGCAAGAACGAAUGCAAAAGAAGGGGCAAAAGAAGGAGUGCCCCUUGGCUGGUGCUCUGGCAGCAAUGCCUGUGGGGAGCUGCUGUUUAUUUGGAAAGGUGGUUACGGAUGUGAGGACAUGUUGGCUACCCAGAACUUCUCAUGCACUGUGGCACGUCCUGGACUUGGUUCAGGUUGUCAGAAUCCUUCAGAAAACUCGUAGUCCACAAGUGGCCUCUACAGAAGCCAGUGAGUCUCUGGCAUGCAGCCAGCAGGGCUGGGAGGCUGCGAGAGCAGGAGGCACUGCUGUGCUGUUUGAUGAGGCGCGUGCCAGCUGGCUGUGGGGCACCUGCAUUUCAAGUCUUUGCAAAACCAAAGUCAUCUCUGGGGGAGGGAAGGGGAGGGGAGGAACAGCAACUUGUACACGAUGCAUCAAUGCUGCAGGCUGGGGGAAGUCUACUCCCUACUGCUGCAUCAAGCAAUUACAGUUGUCAGCAAUGCGGAGCACGGGGGUGAUGCUAAUUCCAGUGUUUCUGAUUUCUGAGGGCUCACUUGGCACCUUUAAGGCUGUACCCUCGAUGGCGCAUUACAAGCUGUGUAAUUUUUGCAGUGAAGCAGAUUUGCACCCUUGUUUUCAGGGCUGCCACACGGCAGAGUUUCCUGCAGCCAGUGUUCCUGUGCCAGCUGGGAGCCGGCGGGCUGAGGGACACAGCUGUGACCCCCAGGCCUACGGAGUCCUGAGCCAGCAGCAGGGAGGGGCAACAGCGGGACAAGAACUCACUGGAGUGGUGUUUUCCAUGUUAAUAUCCAAGUGCAUGUCAACCCUGAGCUUUGUGAGAGCCUGUCUGGUUUGUGAGGGACCACCCUUCAGCAGAGGAGUUUCUCUUCCUUGCUGUUGUCUCAAGUGCUUUGGGUAUUUCUCAGCAUUUUCUGUGCUGCACCAGCAGCAGCAUCAAUGACUGAAAACCUCUUGGAAACUCCAGGACUGUGGCUCACAGAGCUUGUGUCAGCACAGUGAGUUAAACCGGGGGGUUUGGGGCAGGGAGAGGAUGUCUGGUCAGCUGAAAACCCCAUAAAGCUGGAGGCCACAAAGAUUAGGUGUGCAUUCCAGUGGCUUGUCAAGCAGCAUCCCCAGAAAGCAUGUGUCUUAAAUUUCAAAUGUGAGCAGAGAUGAUAGAAAAAUGCUUCCAAACCCAGCUGGAUGUGUGUUGGUAGAAAUUAAACAGCAGGCUGCUCAGGGAGGAGGCCACGAGCAGCUCUGCUUGUGUCGAUGUUGGGGUGGUCUCAGGAAGGGUGGACAGAGCCCCCGGGACACGCCAGGUUGUGCAUUCCUGGCAGUGCACCAAAGGAAGGUGUGGUGCCUCCAUUCCCUAAAACACACACCUGAGGGAGCAGGCAGAGAAGGGGGACACUCACUCUGCUCACACAAGGAUUUGCACAGUCUGAGGACACUCAGCAGAGGGGACAGCCCUGCCAAGAGCCCCCAGGCCAGCGCAGAGCAGACAGGCAGAGAGCCCCUUCCCAGUCAGCACUAACUCUUCCAAACACUUCUCCAAGAUGCCAGGGCUGGACACCUUCACCCCGUGGGAAGGGCUGUAGGUACCAGCCCCUGCAGAGCAGGGCACAGAUGCCCAUCUGCACAGACAAAAGCACCUGGGAGUGUUCUGAUUCAAACCAAAAUUCUCUAAAUUGCUGACUUUAUUCACAGGUUAAAUCAUCUUCAUUCUGCAUUUGUACUUUAUUUCGGUGGGUUUACUGUCAUUGGCUGAGACCUAUGCGAAUAUGCUGAUAAAUAUAGACUUUACAUUAAAAUUGGCACUCUUUUUAACCUGGUAGAUAUGUUAAUCUAUUCACAUUUGUACAAGCACCGCACAGUUAUAACGUGCAUUAAUUCAAAUACUUAAUUUACAUUUUAUUUUGUUAGGAAAUAGUGAAUGAAGCAUUUUUUACUUGACAUUUAGAAAAUGGAAUAUUUAAUUGAUUGCAAAAACAGCAUUUAAAAAUGGUUUCUUGAAUUAUUAAUACAAACUAAAAUGGAGUGGAUACAUAAAAGCCUGCUUGAACAAACUGCUGUAGCCUUUUUAGGCAGGUUUGUUUCAUGCAAGAACAACCUGAUCCAACCACAAUUUUAUCCCUAAUGUGAGCAGGGGCCUGGACUACAAAGCUCCAGAGAGGCUUCUUCCCACCUCAGUCUUUCUGUGUAAUAGGAAGCAGAGUUGGAGAAACUUCCUUCAGUUGUCUUUGGAAAGAAAGAGAGAAGCAAUUUACUGCCCCGCUGUUCCAGUAUUUCACAUCUGGACUGUUGUGGCAGCCUUCUUGACAUCAUUAAGGACCAAAAAAGAGCUGGCCCUUUUCCAGCCUCAUAGGUUUUCCUGAGCAGACCAGAGUCUGACAGAGAUCAACCCACAGAUGCCUCCGGGUGGCUUCCACAGGAUGACAAACAUCAUUUAUUGAGGACUGGUGAUCAAAAAAGUCUUUGCCCCAAGAGGUGCCAUUUAAAACCCUUCUUUACUGUUUGCCUAGGAAGUACACCAUCCCCAUAUGACACCAGCACCAACACAGAAUAAAUAUUUACAGAACACUUCCCCUCCUCUCAUUACAAACAAUUCUGCUAUCUGCAGUCAGUAAUGGACAAGUGCCAUGUUCAAUUAUAUCAAAAACAAAAGACAUUCUAAAAAAAGCUGCUCAUGUUUCCAGCCUUGUCACUUACAGGCUUUGUUCCUACUGGCUUCAUUUUUGUACUUUGUAUUUUCCAGCUUCUACUGGUUCUUUUCCUCCUCUGGUGAUUAAAUAUUGCACAGCUAUUGCCCUUAUUCCCUCUCUUCCAAGGUUAGCUUUUAAUGUGCUUUCAUUUGCAUUUAUACUUGCAAGCCAUUAAAAAAUGCCCAGGUUUUAUCCAAAUUUUGGUCGAAGUUGUCUCACUGUGCAAGUCAGAGCAUUCCCUCAGUGGCAGCAGAAGUCCCUGGAAUGCUCCUGGCUGCUGGCUAGUUCUUCAAACCCCUCUCUGGCCCACAGUUCCUAGAGAGCUUGCUGCUAAUGCUGGCCAUUAAAUCCCGUGUCCUAUCCAUGGAAACCAAGCUGCUUGGAGCAGUUUCCACCCUUCAUCACCCCUGCCCAAAGCCCAUUUUCCAAUUCACACCUCAUCCACCGUUUCUUCUGUCAGUUGAGCACCAGUGGAUGUCCGAGUAUCCCCAGCUGAAGAGAUGAGUUCUGCCACAGCCUGCUCUCCCACUGGAUCAGGGCAGAGUCUCCCUGUUACUAAAACCAUAC